UACGUAGGGUGCAAGCGUUAAUCGGAAUUACUGGGCGUAAAGCGUGCGCAGGCGGUUGUGCAAGACCGAUGUGAAAUCCCCGGGCUUAACCUGGGAAUGGCUAUGGAAACUGGCGAGCUGGAGUGUGGCAGAGGGGGGUGGAAUUCCGCGUGUAGCAGUGAAAUGCGCAGAUAUCGGGAGGAACACCAGUAGCGAAGGCGGCACUCUGGGCCGGUACUGACGCUGAGGAGCGAAAGCGUGGGGAGCAAACAGG
rnacentral:rRNA from 1 species